GUUGAAGAACGCAGCGAAAUGCGAUAAGUAGUGUGAAUUGCAGAAUUCAGUGAAUCAUCGAAUCUUUGAACGCACAUUGCGCCCCAUGGUAUUCCGUGGGGCAUGCCUGUUCGAGCGUCAUUUACCCCCUCAAGCUCCGCUUGGUGUUGGGCGUCUGUCCCGCUUCGCGCGCGGACUCGCCCCAAAGGUAUUGGCAGCGGUCGUGCCAGCUUCUCGCGCAGCACAUUGCGCUUCUCGAGGCACCGGUGGGCCCGCGUCCAUCAAGCUCACCCCCCCAGUUUGACCUCGGAUCAGGUAGGGAUACCCGCUGAACUUAAGCAUAUCAAUAAGCGGAGGA
rnacentral:misc_RNA from 1 species